UUUAGCUCAGUUGGUUAGAGCGACGGACUGUUAAUCCGCAGGUCCCCCGCUCGAAUC
rnacentral:tRNA from 13 species